rnacentral:pre_miRNA from 1 species
UACUGCAGACGUGGCAAUCAUGUAUAAUUAAAAAUGAUUGGUACGUCUGUGGGUAGA